rnacentral:rRNA from 1 species
AUUCCAAGCUUGAGUUUGAUCCUGGCUCAGGAUGAACGCUGGCGGCGUGCCUAAUACAUGCAAGUCGAGCGAGGUUCUUCGGAACCUAGCGGCGGACGGGUGAGUAACACGUGGGUAACCUGCCUGUAAGACUGGGAUAACUUCGGGAAACCGAAGCUAAUACCGGAUACUUUCGAGCAUCGCAUGAUGCUUGAUGGAAAGACGGCUUCGGCUGUCACUUACAGAUGGACCCGCGUCGCAUUAGCUAGUUGGUGAGGUAACGGCUCACCAAGGCGACGAUGCGUAGCCGACCUGAGAGGGUGAUCGGCCACACUGGGACUGAGACACGGCCCAGACUCCUACGGGAGGCAGCAGUAGGGAAUCUUCGGCAAUGGGCGAAAGCCUGACCGAGCAACGCCGCGUGAGCGAUGAAGGCCUUCGGGUCGUAAAGCUCUGUUGUUAAGGAAGAACAAGUACGAGAGUAACUGCUCGUACCUUGACGGUACUUAACGAGAAAGCCACGGCUAACUACGUGCCAGCAGCCGCGGUAAUACGUAGGUGGCGAGCGUUAUCCGGAAUUAUUGGGCGUAAAGCGCGCGCAGGCGGUUUCUUAAGUCUGAUGUGAAAGCCCACGGCUCAACCGUGGAGGGUCAUUGGAAACUGGGAAACCUGAGUGCAGAAGAGGAAAGCGGAAUUCCACGUGUAGCGGUGAAAUGCGUAGAGAUGUGGAGGAACACCAGUGGCGAAGGCGGCUUUCUGGUCUGUAACUACCGCUAGGCGC